GACGAACGCUGGCGGCGUGCUUAACACAUGCAAGUCGAACGGAAAGGCCCUGCUUUUGUGGGGUGCUCGAGUGGCGAACGGGUGAGUAACACGUGAGUAACCUGCCCUUGACUUUGGGAUAACUUCAGGAAACUGGGGCUAAUACCGGAUAGGAGCUCCUGCUGCAUGGUGGGGGUUGGAAAGUUUCGGCGGUUGGGGAUGGGCUCGCGGCUUAUCAGCUUGUUGGUGGGGUAGUGGCUUACCAAGGCUUUGACGGGUAGCCGGCCUGAGAGGGUGACCGGCCACAUUGGGACUGAGAUACGGCCCAGACUCCUACGGGAGGCAGCAGUGGGGAAUAUUGCACAAUGGGCGGAAGCCUGAUGCAGCAACGCCGCGUGCGUGAUGACGGCCUUCGGGUUGUAAACCGCUUUCGCCUGUGACGAAGCGUGAGUGACGGUAAUGGGUAAAGAAGCACCGGCUAACUACGUG
rnacentral:rRNA from 1 species